rnacentral:rRNA from 1 species
UACGGAGGGGGCUAGCGUUGUUCGGAAUUACUGGGCGUAAAGGGCGCGUAGGCGGCGCGAUAAGUUGGGCGUGAAAGGCCCGGGCUCAACCCGGGGACUGCGCUUGAUACUGUCGCGCUGUGAGUCCGGGAGAGGAUGGCGGAAUUCCCAGUGUAGAGGUGAAAUGCGUAGAUAUUGGGAGGAACACCAGUGGCGAAGGCGGUCCCCUGGGCCGGAACUGACGCUGAGGCGCGAAAGCGUGGGUAGCAAACGGG